GCACGCCGCGUGAGUGAAGAAGGGUUUCGGCUCGUAAAACUCUGUUGUUAAAAAGAACAUAUCUUGAGUGUAACUGUUCAGGUAUUGACGGUAUUUAACCAGAAAGCCACGGCUAACUACGUGCCAGCAGCCGCGGUAAUACGUAGGUGGCAAGCGUUGUCCGGAUUUAUUGGGCGUAAAGCGAGCGCAGGCGGUUUUUUAAGUCUGAUGUGAAAGCCUUCGGCUCAACCGAAGAAGUGCAUCGGAAACUGGGAAACUUGAGUGCAGAAGAGGACAGUGGAACUCCAUGUGA
rnacentral:rRNA from 1 species